rnacentral:rRNA from 1 species
GACAGAGGAGGCAAGCGUUGUCCGGAAUCACUGGGCGUAAAGCGCACGCAGGCGGAUCGAUAAGUCUGGGGUGAAAGCCCGCGGCUCAACCUCGGAAUUGCCUUCCAUACUGGCGGUCUCGAGUCCGGGAGAGGUGAGUGGAAUUGCUAGUGUAGAGGUGAAAUUCGUAGAUAUUAGGAAGAACACCAGUGGCGAAGGCGGGUCACUGGCCCGGUACUGACGCUCAGGUGCGAAAGCGUGGUGAGCAAACCGG